GGACUUUUCACUGUUUGUAUCACUCCGCUUCUCCGUGUCGGCGUUUCCAGACAGAUUCGACGCCUCUACACGCGAUAAAAGGUGUUUGUGAAUUCCCAGCCUGUCACUAGCAGUGAGCGUAGUCUGCGUGCUAAUGUUGCCUCCAGCUCUUCCAGAAGGGAGUCUUUUCCAGACCCACUCCGUGUCCCGGACCCCAGUAUCAGCGUCCGGAAGGAUUCCCUCUCCAACAGACCUGCCAUGUUCUGCAGGAAGUAACCUUCACAGAACUCUGGGACGGCCAUCUUCAGAGACUCCGUCCCCCCGCAGUAUAGCCCACUGAACGAGGAUUCAACUGAUCUUACCUGGAAGAUGUUGUACUUGAUGUUGCUGAUCUCGAUUUCCUUGCGGGGCUGAGUGCUGUCCGUCCCAUUCAGCUCCAGCAGACUUUUGAAUCUGAUUUCAGAGCAGACAACAUGCUUUAUUCUUAACAGUUAAUGAUGUUGAACAUCAGAGGAAGGCCAACACAGACUAGUUCCUCACAGUAAUCCUCCUCUUUGAUGGAGGUGAAGUCUCGCAGAAGGGAGAGCAUGACUCCGGCUCUGGACUUUUGCUGAGCGCUGCGUAGGGACUCCAAC